rnacentral:misc_RNA from 1 species
GAUGAAGAACGUAGCGAAAUGCGAUAAGUAGUGUGAAUUGCAGAAUUCAGUGAAUCAUCGAAUCUUUGAACGCACAUUGCGCCCUUUGGUAUUCCUUAGGGCAUGCCUGUUCGAGCGUCAUUUAAACCUUCAAGCUCAGCUUGGUGUUGGGUGACUGUCCGCUUCAUCGCGGACUCGCCUCAAAAUUAUUGGCGGCCGGUACAUUGGCUCUCGAGCGCAGCAGAAACGCGUAACUCGAGGUCCUCGUGCUGGCUCCCAGAAGCUAUCUUCACAAUUUUGACCUCGGAUCAGGUAGGGAUACCCGCUGAACUUAAGCAUAUCAAUAAGCGGAGGA